GAGCACUUGGCUCAAUGGUAGAGCGUUCGACUCAAAUACCAAAGGUCUCAGGUUCGAAUCCUAGGUGUUCC
rnacentral:tRNA from 1 species